rnacentral:tRNA from 1 species
GCGUUCAUAGCUCAGUUGGUUAGAGCACCACCUUGACAUGGUGGGGGUCGUUGGUUCGAGUCCAAUUGA